UACGUAGGGAGCAAGCGUUGUCCGGAAUCAUUGGGCGUAAAGCGCGCGUAGGCGGCCUCAUAAGUCCGUUGUGAAAGUCAAAGGCUCAACCUUUGAAAGCCGAUGGAAACUGUCGGGCUAGAGUCCGGAAGAGGCGAGUGGAAUUCCUAGUGUAGAGGUGAAAUUCGUAGAUAUUAGGAAGAACACCAGUGGCGAAGGCGGCUCACUGGCCCGGUACUGACGCUGAGGCGCGAAAGCGUGGGGAGCAAACAGG
rnacentral:rRNA from 1 species